GGUGCCUCCAACCAACGUGAGAAAGAGCUGUUGAGAUCAGGUUCCUGCUUGGAUUGUAUCACCCCUGGAAGCAGAGCUUCAGCCCUAGGGGGUGAGGCAAGGCAGCUGUGUGAGAUGAACAAUGGCCAGGGGUGCCCAGUCUGAGGAAGAAGUGCAGAGCAGCAGAGGGAGGCUGCUGUUUCUCUCUGCCACCUGAAAUUAGUCUGCAUUAAGCCAGAAUGAGCAGUAUGGGAACCAGACCAAGUAACCAAGAGCUGCAGGGUGAAAAGCUGGGAAAAUCUGAAAAACUCCCCAGAUAUUCUGAAGGCUACUGAGGACUGAAAUCAAGCAGACCCAUCAGCCAGUCCUAAACUACUCUGAUGGAACUCUGACAGCCACCUCAGCAACCACAUGGCUCAGUCCUCAUGGCAGGGUCCUUGCAGAGAACACAGUUCCAUUUGAAAGAGUUCAUCAGGUGAGUGCAGAGACAAAGCCAAGGGUCACUCUUGCUCAGAGCUUGCCAGCAUCGCUUAAUAACCCUUAUAUGACAGGCAUGCAGCUCCUCUUGCUCUCUCUAGCUCAGUGUGUAAUUCCUCCAACAGAUAUUUUGUUCUCAACAAUAACAUGUUCCUGCCAUGCUCCACAGGGUUCGGACACCAAGCUGUGACUGCGAGCUCCCAUGGAGGCUGAGGGGGUAUUUGACUGUUAGGAAGCACAUUCAUAUGGUUUGGAAGGUAGUUUCCUUAUAAACAGUAACUUUGGAAGAGAAUUAAGGUGUUUACUUUUCACCUGUAAGUACAAUUAAGGCUAAUCCCCUGCAGUUGUAUAUUUGUACUGGGAGUGCUGGUUUUCUUUACUAACUCAGGUCUGCACAUAACAGCAUUUAAAAAUAUGAUGAGGAGUGUAGCUUAUUUUGUUCAUGGUCAUGCUGUAUGUUUUCUCUUUAAAUAAGGUUGAAGAAAGAAUCUCUUUUAAAGGUUGACGCCGGGAGAUGUUUUCUUGUGGUUACUUGAAGCAAGGUGUAGACUUUAAUGCCAAAAGAAAGGGUCCCCCACCUUGUCAAUGAAUCCUAUAAUCAGGUUGCAAUAGUAACAGAUUACAGCUGUCAUGUUUCUUUUUCUCCAGGUUCUGAUUUCUCUCCCUAUCUCUGGUUUUCUUCUAGUAAGAGAUACCCGGUGUCUCAUUUUGCUCAGGUCAGGCAGGAGAACUUAGAUAGGCCAAGAGUUUCCAUUACAUUUAUCUAAUCUCCUGUCUUUUCCAGCUAACCUAAAUGAGUGCCAUACAAGUACUGAACCUACAUUUGCAUGUGUGGCAGUUUGAGAAAAACAAAACCUUAAUUCUAGAAGUUUUCCUGAAACUGGUACACAAGUUUUCCUGAAACACACCUUUUCUGUAAGUGACAGAAAUAGUUAAGGCAAAACUUUUCUACAACAGCACUUUUUUACUAUAAGUUGAUGGCAAACCAUUAAUGCCAAACUCUCAGAGCUGUCCUUGAAGUCCUGCUACAGUCCCACUCCCCUGUGAGAGGGAUGUGAGAGGGAUGUGAGAU